AGAGUUUGAUCAUGGCUCAGAAUCAACGCUGGCGGCGCGCUUAACACAUGCAAGUCGCACGAGAAAGUGGAGCAAUCCAUGAGUAAAGUGGCGUACGGGUGAGUAACACGUGGAUCAUCUACCUCCUAGUGGGGAAUAACCCUGGGAAACCGGGGCUAAUACCGCAUAAGCCUGGAAAGGGAAAGCAGCAAUGCGCUGGGAGAGGAGUCCGCGGCCGAUUAGCUAGUUGGUAGGGUAAAGGCCUACCAAGGCAAUGAUCGGUAGCCGGCCUGAGAGGGCACACGGCCACACUGGCACUGAAACACGGGCCAGACUCCUACGGGAGGCAGCAGUGGGGAAUCUUGCACAAUGGGGGCAACCCUGAUGCAGCGACGCCGCGUGAGCGAUGAAGCCCUUCGGGGUGUAAAGCUCUUUCGGCAGGAACGAUAAUGACGGUACCUGAAGAAGAAGCUGCGGCUAACUACGUGCCAGCAGCCGCGGUAAUACGUAGGCAGCAAGCGUUGUUCGGAGUUACUGGGCGUAAAGAGUGGGUAGGCGGUUCUCUAAGUUCGGUGUGAAAUCUCCCGGCUCAACUGGGAGGGUGCGCCGGAAACUGGAGGGCUGGAGUAUGGGAAGGGAAAGCGGAAUUCCUGGUGUAGCGGUGAAAUGCGUAGAUAUCAGGAGGAACACCUGUGGUGAAGACGGCUUUCUGGACCAUCACUGACGCUGAGACACGAAAGCGUGGGUAGCAAACAGGAUUAGAUACCCUGGUAGUCCACGCCCUAAACGAUGCAUACUUGGUGUGAGCCGUUCAUUCGGUUCGUGCCGGAGCUAACGCGUUAAGUAUGCCGCCUGGGGAGUACGGUCGCAAGGCUGAAACUCAAAGGAAUUGACGGGGCCCGCACAAGCGUGGAGCAUGUGGUUCAAUUCGACGCAACGCGAAGAACCUUACCUGGGCUCGAACGGCUUCUCAACGGCGGUGGAAACAUC
rnacentral:rRNA from 1 species